UACGUAGGGUCCAAGCGUUGUCCGGAAUUAUUGGGCGUAAAGAGCUCGUAGGCGGUGUGUCGCGUCGGAUGUGAAAGCCCGGGGCUUAACCCCGGGUCUGCAUUCGGUACGGGCAUGCUGGAGUUCGGUAGGGGAGACUGGAAUUCCUGGUGUAGCGGUGAAAUGCGCAGGAUAUCAGGAGGAACACCGGUGGCGAAGGCGGGUCUCUGGGCCGAUACUGACGCUGAGGAGCGAAAGCGUGGGGAGCGAACAGGA
rnacentral:rRNA from 1 species